rnacentral:tRNA from 1 species
GCCGCCAUAGCUCAGUGGUAGAGCGCACCCUUGGUAAGGGUGAGGUCCGCAGUUCAAUCCUGCGUGGCGGCACCA